rnacentral:lncRNA from 1 species
UGGGUUCCGGUGUCGAAAUCGAUACUUCCGAGAACCCGGAUCGGAACGAUUAUCCGACGAUAAUCGUUUUGGAGUGAGUUAAGGUCUUUGCUGCCAAGUCACACGUAAAUUUGUAUUUAGUGGCAGCGGGUGACUCGUGGUAUGAGUCGGUGAGUUCCGGGACAGUCCGUGGGUCCCGGCGGAGUCUCGGUGCGAUUACGGGACUUCCGGCGUAGUACGGCGAUCGGUUUGGGAAACCGAUUCUCGUGGGUUUAUUUGUGGGGUUAUGCUUUUAGGGUUUCUUAGUUGUGGGUUAGACACUAACCCAGUGGACCCUCCUUAGGUCCGGUUGACGUUCUUUUGCAGUCAGGAGACAGGCGCGACAUUUGUUCAGGUGGGUACUUAGAUCCGACGUCGGUACAGUGGUGCACGCUCGGUGAUGGUUUCUUACCCUUACUCUUCUGUUGUUAGUAUUGCAUAGUAUACAUUGAGCCCUGCACCCAUGUUAUUCCAUUAUAUCUACUCGUUGUGUGCAUUCUUAGUAUCCUGAGUAGGAGUAGAGUGGUUCUAUCUAUGUGCGUAUCUGUUGACCUGGUUGGUCGAUUCUUGUACUUCAUAUCAGUGACUUGGUUGGUCGAUUCUUGUACUUCGUAUCAGUGACCUGGUUGGUUGGUUUUCGUACUUCGUAUCAGUGACCUGGUUGGUCUGUUUUUGUAUCUCGUAUUUGUGACACAUUCGGUCGGUUCCUUGACUUCUGUCGUUCGAUGACCGUUGUGGUCGAUGUACCCUAGAGGGGUUAGAUUGUUGGCUUGUGGCCGACGGUAGUUCUGUAUUCUAUUGAUACACCCUGAUGACCUAUUCGUCGAUUCGUUGUGCAUAUAUCCUAGUUGAUCUGAGUGGUCAGUCCUUGUGGUUCAUUGAGCAGUAUUUGCAUAUGUUUGAGAGGAUGUUGAUGUUGUCCCAUCCUAGUUGACCUGAGUGGUCAGUUCUCGUGCUUCCUUACAGUUGAUGACCUAUACGGUCGAUGAGCCCUGUGGGCAGGAUUGUCGGCUGGUUGCCGACGUUUGGCCUUUGAGCAUAUUAGCAUUGACCGCCCGAUACUCGUCGCAUUUCACGAACAUUGGCGGUCUGAUCUACCGCAAGGAGUGUUCUUUUCCGGAAAAGUGGUUGCAGGUGUCAACCCGUGAGCCCUAGAGGGGUUAUAUGCAUGGGAGAGUAGUAGUGGCAUAGGUUUGAGGUUUGCGGUGCGGACCAAUAGAGCAGCAGAUUUCAUAUUGGGUAUAUUGGACUUCUUGACCGAUUGACGCAUAUAGCUAUAGUAACGGUUGUUGUUUGUAUACCUUCAGUUCUUUCUUUACACUUGUCUUGCUACUAUAGUUUAGCUCAAUUAUCAGAUUUGGUUUUCAUGCGGAAAACAAAAUCAGGUAGUGAAAAAAAUUUAAACGCUUUUCCGCUGUGUUUCAAACUAAAAGGGACCACGGGGCGUGACAAAUUAAAGUGGUAUCAGAGCCAAGUUACAACCACAACACUAUUCACAGGUUGUUUUGAAAAGUAAAUGAAAUUGAACCAUUGGUUAGGUUGACCCAUAGGAAGACCUACGGUAUAUAGACACGUGAGUGCGGGGUUUGGACUUGUGUCUUGGGUUGCAUUCGAGUUUGGUAAACUCGAAGUGCAUGGUGUUUCUGUAUGUGUUACGGUUCGCACAAGCUGGUGUCUAAGUCGGGAGUAGUGGCGGUGUACUUAUUCGGACAUCGAGUUGUGGGGCGACGUUCCCCAGGUGUUGCCACUCCUGUCAGGUGGGGCCUUGAAGGGCCAAGUGAGAUUUUCGGGCCUAGGCGAGUGUCAUAACUGCCGACGCCCAGGCCACUCUCUCUACUUAGGACACGAGAGCUGUUGCGAGUGUCUCUACGGAGAUGGCACUGUGAUCAGUUACGAUCGUGACUUCAGUGGGGCUACUAGGGCGUAGCCCAGGGUUUGGUUAGCGGUCGUUUAGGUGACUGCAUUGUUAGUGUUGCUUCCGCAGAUCUUUGGGUAGGGUUGCGAUGCCUACCUCUCCUCCUUGAUUGCUGAUUGGAAUCAGCGGUUUGGAUCUUUUGACCUUGAACUAGUUCUUUCGUCAAAUUGACGUGUACUAGAGUCGGAUUGACACAGUUUGGUGUCAGAUUUUCGUUGAUGCAUACAUCGUAUGCUAUUGUUCUAACACCUAAAUUGGUGUGUUGUGGGUUAGUCUGUGGUUUGUGGUAGAAUUCGUUUUGACUCGAGAUACUCUUGGGUAGUGUCGGAGUUCUCGGAGCUUGGGUAUAGUUCGGUUGUGGUGCGGAAAUUGGUUAGAGAAACCAUUUCUUAAAGCCUCAGUCCGUGUGGUUCGCGGUUUAGUGUCGCUAGUGGCUUUCAGAUGUUGAAAGCUAUGAAACUCCCUGUGAGUUGGUUCAAGGUCAGGUUGAUUUCGAAUGUCGUCUUGCAAAGUUGAUGUUUCGACGGUUUUGGUUGUGAGCUUCUGGUUCAGUAGAGAGGUAUCAAGUGGCUUGAUACUUUAACGCGUUGUGCUUCCAACUUGUUGUUGGUAGUGGAUCUUCGGAUAUUUCGCUUUUCUUUUGAUAAGUAUAUUGGCUGCAGACAAUAUACUGUCGAAAGAGGGACGAAAUACCAUCUUCCCGUUUGGGACUUAUGGAUUGGGUCGAUGUGUUCUCUAGACUGUCUUGUGGGAAAAGCUAGAGUGAUGGUCAUCUCUGACCAUGUGGCGAGCCUUGGAUUAUUCCCCUGGCAGGUUUUGC